UUGACCUCAAAUCGGGUGAGACUACCCGCUGAACUUAAGCAUAUCAAUAAGCGGAGGAAAAGAAACUAACAAGGAUUCCCCUAGUAACUGCGAGUGAAGCGGGAAAAGCUCAAAUUUAAAAUCUGGUGGUCCUUGGCCAUCCGAGUUGUAAUUUAGAGAAG
rnacentral:rRNA from 1 species